GCCCUCUUGGGAGAGAGAAUGGCCGGCCUUUUGGGUAAUUUUUAAGUGUAAUGGGUGAUUUAUUUGGUAAUUAAUGGAUUAAUUAGGUAAUAAAUCCAUUAAUUGGCCAAUUAACUCAAUUUAUAUGGAAUGUUUUGAAGGUUAUGGAAUAAUUUCCUUGUAGGAAAUAUAGGAUGAGGUUGGAUGAAAUAGUUUUGAAUUUGUUACCUAUUUUGGGCACUUUUGACUUGGUUGAGUGAUGAUUGCCCGUUGAUCGCGCGUAGGAAUCCCAUUAUGCCUAAAGGGUAUUUUUGUCCUCUUUUAUCCAAAAAUCCACGUGUCGCCUUGUGAUUAUUUUUGGCUCCACAAAUGCCCUCACACCUGUUGGGCUGCUUGCAGGAAAGGGCAGCAGGUGUAGAGAUCUUCUUGCUUUACGAAACUUUGGAUUGAUUCCUAUUUUGAUGUAGAUUCCCUUUUUAAUAGGAAAUUAGAUCCUUCUAGGAAAGGGAAAUAAAUUUCUCUCAAAGCCUAUUUAAGUCCACCUAAGUGGAUUAUUAAAUCAACUUUGAAGAGCAAUUUAUUCUACCCUACAAGAGAGAGAGAGAUUAAAGGAUAUUUGUUCCCCCUCCUCUAGCAAUCUUUUACAUCUUGCCUGUGCA
rnacentral:lncRNA from 1 species